CAGCUUCGGUGCUGUAUGAGUUUAGCAAUCUAAUGCUUCUGCUAGAAGACCAUCCUCAAGGGAGUUGGGCCUUCUUCCAGGCCCAGGGACCUGAUACAGUGACCAGAAGUGCCCCAGCUGUUUUACAAAUCCCCAGUCUCAGCAGCGGAAGCUGGCCUACAAUGCUGAACCAGAAAGAGGCCUUAACCAGGAUGGAAGACGGUAAACAAACUUGGGAGAAGAACAGCGAGGCGAGCGGCAGGCGGCUAGUGGGUCCAGAAAGCGCUGCACCUGUGAUGGCAGAAAAGACAGGUUCUUCUUUCAACCCGGCAUCCCCAGAGGCUGCGACAAUUGGGGUAAACCAGAGGGGCAAACUCGCAGGCAGACAAAGAGAACAUCUGCAUUUGAAAUGGGUUCCCACCCGGGGCUCCAAUGGGAGGCUCGCUGCGAGAUCUGCCUGCUGAGUAGCUCCUCCUAGAGAGAAAAGCUUCUCCGAAAAGCCCAGUUGUGUACCCUCAACCCUCUGACCCCCAACGAAACCCCUUGGAAAAGUCAGCAGACGGGAGAACAGGACCCUCCCUCCUCCAACCCCCACUCCCAGCGCAGACUUGUCUAUUUUACUCAAGGUCACUUCCAAACAGGACUGGAAUAAACCCUCCUUG
rnacentral:lncRNA from 1 species